rnacentral:rRNA from 1 species
CGUACACUCCUGCGGGAGGCAGCAGUGGGGAAUAUUAGACAAUGGGCGCAAGCCUGAUCCAGCCAUGCCGCGUGAGUGAUGAAGGCCCUAGGGUUGUAAAGCUCUUUCACCGGUGAAGAUAAUGACGGUAACCGGAGAAGAAGCCCCGGCUAACUUCGUGCCAGCAGCCGCGGUAAUACGAAGGGGGCUAGCGUUGUUCGGAUUUACUGGGCGUAAAGCGCACGUAGGCGGACUAUUAAGUCAGGGGUGAAAUCCCGGGGCUCAACCCCGGAACUGCCUUUGAUACUGGUAGUCUUGAGUUCGAGAGAGGUGAGUGGAAUUCCGAGUGUAGAGGUGAAAUUCGUAGAUAUUCGGAGGAACACCAGUGGCGAAGGCGGCUCACUGGCUCGAUACUGACGCUGAGGUGCGAAAGCGUGGGGAGCAAACAGGAUUAGAAACCCUUGUAGUCCCA